rnacentral:rRNA from 1 species
UACGUAGCAGCGAGCGUUGUUCGGAGUUACUGGGCGUAAAGGGUGUGUAGGCGGUCCCUUAAGUUUGGUGUGAAAUCUCCCGGCUCAACUGGGAGGGUGCGCCGGAUACUGAGGGGCUAGAGUGCGGGAGGGGGAAAGUGGAAUUCCUGGUGUAGCGGUGAAAUGCGUAGAUAUCAGGAGGAACACCGGUGGUGCAAACGGCUUUCUGGACCGUAACUGACGCUGAGACACGAAAGCGUGGGGGAGCAAACAGGG